rnacentral:rRNA from 1 species
UUCCGUAGGUGAACCUGCGGAAGGAUCAUUACCUUCUAGUUAUCUUCUAGCUCGGGGGCCGGCUUGCGCGAAGUCCUUCGGGACCCCUCCCGGCCCUGGCUGCAUCCUUGUCUAUUGCGUACUACAUGUUUCCUCGGUAGGCUUGCCUACCGGUUGGACAAUCUCAAAUCCUUUUGUAAUUGUAAUCAGCGUCUGAAAAUAAUUUUAAUUAUCACAACUUUCAACAACGGAUCUCUUGGUUCUGGCAUCGAUGAAGAACGCAGCGAAAUGCGAUAAGUAGUGUGAAUUGCAGAAUUCAGUGAAUCAUCGAAUCUUUGAACGCACAUUGCGCCCCUUGGUAUUCCAUAGGGCAUGCCUGUUCGAGCGUCAUUUGUAUCUUCAAGCUCUGCUUGGUGUUGGGUGUUUGUCCGGUUCUAUGUGAUUGGACUCGCCUUAAAACUAUUGGCAGCCAGUGUAUCAGCAUUUGGAGCGCAGCACAAUUUGCGAUCUGAGUAUAUAUACUGGCAUCCAUGAGCCUUUUAUCACUUUUGACCUCGGAUCAGGUAGGGAUACCCGCUGAAC